rnacentral:lncRNA from 1 species
AUCAUUUUACCUUACAAAAAGACUACAAUCUUCUUCGAACACCAUGCAGUUCUUGCUUAUCAAACGGAAUGUAUCUUCAAUUGAAAAUCCAUCCAUCUUGUCAUCUUUCAUCUUGACCGUGCAAUUCACUAAAUCCUGUGGAGAGAGAAGAAGUUACUCUGCCCCUUCAUGUUGAUAUGGUGCAAUGUUUCAAUAGAAGUACAUGCAAUAAAUAAAUGCACAGUAGUUGUCUGAAAAUUUAAAAAAGUAAGGGAUAUGAUAAAAAUAAAUAAUUAAAUUUGUAAGAUAUAAAACCUAAAUAGUUAUUGAAAUUGUCUUGUUCUUUAAUCGGAUUUAAAAUAUUUCUUAGUCUCCAAUCUAGUUGAAUAAUAUCCUCAUAAACUUGCUUACAUUUCUUCCAGUAGUACAGAAAAACCUUGUAUAGGACAAUAGUAACCGUUAUUGUCAACAAUAGAAUAACUACUUGUCUUUUCAAAUCCAUAACAGAACCUACGGCGACAAACAAUAAUCAUCUAAGCAAUUAAACAACAAUAGACUCUAAGGUACUGUUCUCUUUUAUUUUCCUAAUUAUCAUCUAAGCAAUUAAACAACAAUAGACUCUAAGGUACUGUUCUCUUUUAUUUUCCUAAUUAUCAUCUAAGCAAUUAAACAACAAUGAACCAUAUUGGAUUGUCCAUUGUCGAAAACUCUUACGGACAAUCCUGGCCAUCCAAGGCCUUUGGAAGGAUCAGUAGGAGGAAGCUGAUGAUUACCUUAGGUUUCGCACCAAGAUGUAUUAGAGAUCCUAACGAAGGUAUCCGCUACUACAUUUUAUAUAUUUAGUAAUGUUUGUCUCUUAACAUUUGUUAAAAUGUUAGCAAUGUAGAUAAAAUUAUAUUUUAGAAAACAUUUAUAAUAAAACUAUAGUUAAUUUUCUUAAAAAGUUGAAAGAACUGUUUCCUAUUCCUAUUCUUGAACACACUAAGGGUUCAUACUCUCCCCAAAACCCUCUCACGAACCAUUGCGUGUUUUCUCACUCGGUGCUUCCAAUCGGUUCUCACAAUCAUUGUUUCCUUUGAAAUCAAGAAUCAGAAAACCAUUCUCCAUCACAAUCUGUUCCUCUCUUUGGAUCGUGAUUUAUUCUACUUCGAACCUUUCUCAAUCUCAAUCUAGUUCUAGGGUUUGAUUAUUCUCUAUUCUGAUUGUUUCAUUUUCCUUUCAUGCUUGUUCCGAUUUCUUUUUAAUUUUGUUCCAAAAAGUUACUUGCAGAAGAAGAGUAGCAUUAUUCUAAUCUGAUCGUAGUGUGCAUGAGUGAUUGAAUCGGGUUUAAUUGCUUAUAGUGAUUGCUUAUAGUCUUUUAAUAUUUCAAUUAUGUUAUAUAAUUGACUAUGUUUUCUAUAUUGUUCUGUUUUA